CUCUCAGCCUUCCUGUGAUCUCGCGGGAGCGGCCGGUUCGCGCAGGCGCAGUUGGUGGACCUGGUCGCGCUGUGCCGGGUGUGACACUACGGAGAGCAGAUUACAUAAUCAAAAGCACCAAGUUGAAACAUUUGCAAGAGCCAUGUUACAUCUUUUAGUUUAAAGCUUCAGG